rnacentral:rRNA from 1 species
AUUGAGCGCUGGCGGCAUGCCUUACACAUGCAAGUCGAACGGCAGCACGGGGCAACCUGGUGGCGAGUGGCGAACGGGUGAGUAAUGCAUCGGAACGUACCUUUCAGUGGGGGAUAACGUAGCGAAAGUUACGCUAAUACCGCAUAUUCUGUGAGCAGGAAAGCAGGGGAUCGCAAGACCUUGCGCUGAUUGAGCGGCCGAUGUCAGAUUAGCUAGUUGGUGGGGUAAAGGCUCACCAAGGCGACGAUCUGUAGCGGGUCUGAGAGGAUGAUCCGGCACACUGGAAGUGAGACACGGGCCAGACUCCUAGGGGAGGCAGCAGGGGGGAAUUUUGGACGAUGGGGGCGACCCUGAUCCAGCCAUGCCGCGUGAGUGAAGGAGGCCUUCGGGUUGUAAAGCUCUUUCGGCCGGGAAGAAAUCGCACGGGCUAAUUCCCUGUGUGGAUGACGGUACCGGAAUAAGAAGCACCGGCUAACUACGUGCCAGCCGCCGCAGUAACAC